UGUGUGUCCUUUAGGAAGCUGCUUCUCUGUGAACUUCCAGCAAAAAACUCUGAAGCUGCUUUGCCUUGUCUUAGUACACAGCCCAGCACUGGCAGUGCCCUACCUUAGUAGAUGGGAAACUAGGAAAAGGUUUACUCCUCCUGCCGCCGGCUUCCGGAUUAGACAUGGCAAUGGUGAUUUGAAGGAUCAGCCAAGGAAUGUCAUAACAGAGGCUACUGUGAAACCAAAUUAAAGGAGCCCAGGGAGCAAGGGAAAGUCUUCAAGUUAGAAAAGCUUAUCAAUUGCUUGUAUGCCACGUAUCCGGCUAGGCAGUUUGGGCUUCAAAGGAGUACAGAUCUUACUAGAAGAUGUCAGUUUCCCACACCAGAGAAGUAUCGCACUUGGAAGCUUCCGAGGGUGAAGCAUGUGUUGGAGACCCAGGACGGACGUCCUGCCGCGCAGCGGAAUCUGACCACUCAGUGUCUGCAUGACUGCAAGAGAGUCGCUCAAGCUCCACCAACUGCUGUCUCUUCCUUUGCAGGACAAAUAAUAAUAACUCGGUUUAAUAUAGUUCUGAGAACUGUGUUCAAGAUGUUUCAAGACCCUGCCACAUCAGAGAGACUAAUAAAAUGUAGUUAUUAUGACAAGGCUUCAGCUUUUCCAGCUGUAAAAUAGGGAUAAUAAAAUACCCAUGCCUAGUGCAUGGUAAGCUCUG